CUUCAUUCUCUUUCUAAGGUUUUCCCUGGGAUUUUCUCACGCACAUGGAUGCUCCAUUCCUUUGCAUGUAUGCAUGUAUGACAUACAUACAUUCGGCGCCAUCCUCAACUCCUUCCAUCCUUCUACCCUUCUCCUAUAAUACCCUCUGUUGUUCGUCUGGAAGCAAGAAAAAAAAAGCAGCGAGAGAGAGAGAGAGGUAGGGAAACGACAGAGAAGGAGAGAAGGAAACCGACGAAAUCCUCUCGCAUCUAGGGUUGCAGAAACUCUAACCGGUUUUUCUAUCCCUUUUUUCUCUCUCCAACGCCCUACAUUCUGAAAAUCCCUGGAAUUUCCAUCCUAGGUUUCUUCCACGCGCUCCUUGAUCUGCAUUACCGGGAUUUUCUGGAGAGAAAACGGGGGGUUUCUAGGGUUUAUAGCUGAGAAAGAAUAGAAGUCUCUGAAAUCCCAGUUUUUUCCUGAAAUUUCUAGAAAUCUGUUCCGUUUUCCUGUUUGUAAAGGUGGAUCUAACCAUCGGAGAUCUUCAAGGUGCUUUGUGUUUGUCACUUCAGAGUUUUCUGGAGAGGAAUCGAGAGGUUUUCGGGUUACUGGCUUCAGUGAUACUGAAUCCUCGGAAUUUGAGUUUUCCCAUCUCCUUUUUGGAGACAUCUACCGUUUUUUUGCUCGGAUCGGAGCUCAAUCAGCGCGGAAGGUCGGAUCUCUGGAGUUUCCAAACCUUUGGCUUGCUCAUUUUCACUGAAUUUUUCUCGUGUCCUAAAAUUAUUUGGCAAAGAAAAUGGACGGGGUGAAUUUCUCAUCAACAUUAUAGUGGCCCUACCUAGCUCCCAUGGCAAGAAGUUCAUGAGAAAGAUUUCCGAAGAAAAGUCUGGUGGGUUUGUCACUUGUGAGAGCCAUUCUAAAGAAAAGCGUGUUGACAAUAUAGUGGGUAUUGCAUAUGCAAUGGAUAUGCUGGAUUAUGUUGAAAAGGAGUGUAAGUGUUUACCACUCUUUCUAUGGCAUGGGACAAUUUGAUCAAUCUGCUUUCGAAGGUUGAUAAACUAGAAAGUUCUAUUGUGGGAGCAAUUGCGCAUAAGCCUACCUACUUUGUACCUGAUUCAAUGUCCGUGUGGAAUCUGCUGAGAGAGUUCCGCAUAGGAAGGUUCAUAUGGCUAUUGUUCUAAAUGAAUAUGGUGGAACUGUGGGAGAUAUGGUGAAGCUUGUGAUUCAGAGAUAUACUAGAGAAGCUGGUGUGCGAAAUCUAGAGAGAAACUUAGUUGCCCUGGCUCGU